AUUAAGGUGAAAUAAGAUCUAAUGGCCGAUUUUACCUCUUAUUGUUAAAGUUUAUUCGUAAUUUGUGUGCAGAAUAAACUUUAUCUAUAACUCUGAAGGCGCUACGUCACACACUAUGUAGGCGCUUAAUGUGUCAUGGCCGACUACAUUAUUUCGAGCUAUUUAUUGUAAUAAAUACAAUUGUAAUCCUG